rnacentral:rRNA from 1 species
AUUGAACGCUGGCGGCAGGCCUAACACAUGCAAGUCGAACGAGUGGCGGACGGGUGAGUAAUGUAUGGGAAACUGCCUGAUGGAGGGGGAUAAAUAAUGGAAACGGUAGCUAAUAACGCAUACCAGCGGAUGAGCCCAGAUGGGCUUAGCUAGUAGGUGGGGUAAAGGCAAACCUAGGCGACGAUCCAUAGAUGGUCUGAGCGGAUGACCAGCCACACUGGAACUGAGACACGGGCCAGACUCCUACGGUAGGCAGCAGUGGGGAAUAUUGCACAAGGGGCGCAAGCCUGAUGCAGCCAUGCCGCGUGUAUGAAGAAGGCCUUCGGGUUGUAAAGUACUUUCAGCGGGGAGGCGUUACCCGCAGAAGAAGCACCGGCUAACUCCGUGCCAGCAGCCGCGGUAAUUC